GUGACUGCGUACCUUUUGUAUAAUGGGUCAGCGACUUAUAUUCUGUAGCAAGGUUAACCGUAUAGGGGAGCCGGAGGGAAACCGAGUCUUAACUGGGCGUUAAGUUGCAGGGUAUAGACCCGAAACCCGGUGAUCUAGCCAUGGGCAGGUUGAAGGUUGGGUAACACUAACUGGAGGACCGAACCGACUAAUGUUGAAAAAUUAGCGGAUGACCUGUGGCUGGGGGUGAAAGGCCAAUCAAACCGGGAGAUAGCUGGUUCUCCCCGAAAGCUAUUUAGGUAGCGCCUCGUGAAUUCAUCUCCGGGGGUAGAGCACUGUUUCGGCUAGGGGGCCAUCCCGGCUUACCAACCCGAUGCAAACUGCGAAUACCGGAGAAUGUUAUCACGGGAGACACACGGCGGGUGCUAACGUCCGUCGUGAAGAGGGAAACAACCCAGACCGCCAGCUAAGGUCCCAAAGUCAUGGUUAAGUGGGAAACGAUGUGGGAAGGCCCAGACAGCCAGGAUGUUGGCUUAGAAGCAGCCAUCAUUUAAAGAAAGCGUAAUAGCUCACUGGUCGAGUCGGCCUGCGCGGAAGAUGUAACGGGGCUAAACCAUGCACCGAAGCUGCGGCAGCGACGCUGAUGCGUUGUUGGGUAGGGGAGCGUUCUGUAAGCCUGUGAAGGUGGCCUGUGAGGGUUGCUGGAGGUAUCAGAAGUGCGAAUGCUGACAUAAGUAACGAUAAAGCGGGUGAAAAGCCCGCUCGCCGGAAGACCAAGGGUUCCUGUCCAACGUUAAUCGGGGCAGGGUGAGUCGACCCCUAAGGCGAGGCCGAAAGGCGUAGUCGAUGGGAAACGGGUUAAUAUUCCCGUACUUGGUGUUACUGCGAAGGGGGGACGGAGAAGGCUAUGUUGGCCGGGCGACGGUUGUCCCGGUUUAAGCGUGUAGGUGUGUGUUCCAGGUAAAUCCGGUUCACUUUAACACUGAGGCGUGAUGACGAGGCACUACGGUGCUGAAGCAACAAAUGCCCUGCUUCCAGGAAAAGCCUCUAAGCAUCAGGUAACAUCAAAUCGUACCCCAAACCGACACAGGUGGUCAGGUAGAGAAUACCAAGGCGCUUGAGAGAACUCGGGUGAAGGAACUAGGCAAAAUGGUGCCGUAACUUCGGGAGAAGGCACGCUGACACGUAGGUGAAGUGAUUUACUCACGGAGCUGAAGUCAGUCGAAGAUACCAGCUGGCUGCAACUGUUUAUUAAAAACACAGCACUGUGCAAACACGAAAGUGGACGUAUACGGUGUGACGCCUGCCCGGUGCCGGAAGGUUAAUUGAUGGGGUCAGCGCAAGCGAAGCUCCUGAUCGAAGCCCCGGUAAACGGCGGCCGUAACUAUAACGGUCCUAAGGUAGCGAAAUUCCUUGUCGGGUAAGUUCCGACCUGCACGAAUGGCGUAAUGAUGGCCAGGCUGUCUCCACCCGAGACUCAGUGAAAUUGAACUCGCUGUGAAGAUGCAGUGUACCCGCGGCAAGACGGAAAGACCCCGUGAACCUUUACUAUAGCUUGACACUGAACAUUGAGCCUUGAUGUGUAGGAUAGGUGGGAGGCUUUGAAGUGUGGACGCCAGUCUGCAUGGAGCCGACCUUGAAAUACCACCCUUUAAUGUUUGAUGUUCUAACGUGGACCCGUAAUCCGGGUUGCGGACAGUGUCUGGUGGGUAGUUUGACUGGGGCGGUCUCCUCCUAAAGAGUAACGGAGGAGCACGAAGGUUGGCUAAUCCUGGUCGGACAUCAGGAGGUUAGUGCAAUGGCAUAAGCCAGCUUGACUGCGAGCGUGACGGCGCGAGCAGGUGCGAAAGCAGGUCAUAGUGAUCCGGUGGUUCUGAAUGGAAGGGCCAUCGCUCAACGGAUAAAAGGUACUCCGGGGAUAACAGGCUGAUACCGCCCAAGAGUUCAUAUCGACGGCGGUGUUUGGCACCUCGAUGUCGGCUCAUCACAUCCUGGGGCUGAAGUAGGUCCCAAGGGUAUGGCUGUUCGCCAUUUAAAGUGGUACGCGAGCUGGGUUUAGAACGUCGUGAGACAGUUCGGUCCCUAUCUGCCGUGGGCGCUGGAGAACUGAGGGGGGCUGCUCCUAGUACGAGAGGACCGGAGUGGACGCAUCACUGGUGUUCGGGUUGUCAUGCCAAUGGCACUGCCCGGUAGCUAAAUGCGGAAGAGAUAAGUGCUGAAAGCAUCUAAGCACGAAACUUGCCCCGAGAUGAGUUCUCCCUGAGACUU
rnacentral:rRNA from 1 species